CAUAUCAACCCUGAGGCGUGAUGACGAUGCACUACGGUGCAGAAGUAGUUGAUGCCCUGCUUCCAGGAAAAGCCUCUAAGCUCUAGGUAACAUUGAAUCGUACCCCAAACCGACACAGGUGGUCAGGUAGAGAAUACCAAGGCGCUUGAGAGAACUCGGGUGAAGGAACUAGGCAAAAUGGUGCCGUAACUUCGGGAGAAGGCACGCUGGCAUGUAGGUGAAGUCCCUUGCGGAUGGAGCUGAAGCCAGUCGAAGAUACCAGCUGGCUGCAACUGUUUAAUAAAAACACAGCACUGUGCAAACACGAAAGUGGACGUAUACGGUGUGACGCCUGCCCGGUGCUGGAAGGUUAAUUGAUGGGGUCAGCCGCAAGGCGAAGCUCUUGAUCGAAGCCCCAGUAAACGGCGGCCGUAACUAUAACGGUCCUAAGGUAGCGAAAUUCCUUGUCGGGUAAGUUCCGACCUGCACGAAUGGCGUAAUGAUGGCCAGGCUGUCUCCACCCGAGACUCAGUGAAAUUGAACUCGCUGUGAAGAUGCAGUGUACCCGCGGCAAGACGGAAAGACCCCGUGAACCUUUACUAUAGCUUGACACUGAACAUUGAGCCUUGAUGUGUAGGAUAGGUGGGAGGCUUUGAAGCGUGGACGCCAGUCUGCGUGGAGCCAUCCUUGAAAUACCACCCUUUAAUGUUUGAUGUUCUAACUCGGCCCCGUGAUCCGGGGUGAGGACAGUGUCUGGUGGGUAGUUUGACUGGGGCGGUCUCCUCCCAAAGAGUAACGGAGGAGCACGAAGGUUAGCUAAUCACGGUCGGACAUCGUGAGGUUAGUGCAAAGGCAUAAGCUAGCUUGACUGCGAGAGUGACGGCUCGAGCAGGUACGAAAGUAGGUCUUAGUGAUCCGGUGGUUCUGAAUGGAAGGGCCAUCGCUCAACGGAUAAAAGGUACUCCGGGGAUAACAGGCUGAUACCGCCCAAGAGUUCAUAUCGACGGCGGUGUUUGGCACCUCGAUGUCGGCUCAUCACAUCCUGGGGCUGAAGUAGGUCCCAAGGGUAUGGCUGUUCGCCAUUUAAAGUGGUACGCGAGCUGGGUUUAGAACGUCGUGAGACAGUUCGGUCCCUAUCUGCCGUGGGCGUUGGAAGAUUGAGAGGGGUUGCUCCUAGUACGAGAGGACCGGAGUGAACGCACCACUGGUGUUCGGGUUGUCAUGCCAAUGGCAUUGCCCGGUAGCUAAGUGCGGAAAAGAUAAGCGCUGAAAGCAUCUAAGCGCGAAACUUGCCUCAAGAUGAGUCUUCCCUGGGCCUUUAAGGCCCCUGAAGGAACGUUUAAGACUAAGACGUUGAUAGGCUGGGUGUGUAAGUGCAGCGAUGCAUUGAGCUAACCAGUACUAAUGAUCCGUGAGGCUUAACC
rnacentral:rRNA from 1 species